UUGGGAGCUCUCCCAUAUGGUCGACCUGCAGGCGGCCGCGAAUUCACUAGUGAUUCGUAUUACCGCGGCUGCUGGCACGGAGUUAGCCGGAGCUUAUUCUCCCGGUACUGUCAUUAUCAUCCCGGGUAAAAGAGCUUUACAACCCUAAGGCCUUCAUCACUCACGCGGCAUUGCUGGAUCAGGCUUUCGCCCAUUGUCCAAUAUUCCCCACUGCUGCCUCCCGUAGGAGUCUGGGCCGUGUCUCAGUCCCAGUGUGGCUGAUCAUCCUCUCAGACCAGCUAAGGAUCGUCGCCUUGGUGCGCCUUUACCACACCAACUAGCUAAUCCGACCUAGGCUCAUCUGAUAGCGCAAGGCCCGAAGGUCCCCUGCUUUCUCCCGUAGGACGUAUGCGGUAUUAGCGUCCGUUUCCGAGCGUUAUCCCCCACUACCAGGCAGAUUCCUAGGCAUUACUCACCCGUCCGCCGCUCUCAAGAGGUGCAAGCACCUCUCUACCGCUCGACUUGCAUGUGUUAGGCCUGCCGCCAGCGUUCAAUCUGAGCCAUGAUCAAACUCUAAUCGAAUUCCCGCGGCCGCCAUGGCGGCCGGGAGCAUGCGAC
rnacentral:rRNA from 1 species